rnacentral:rRNA from 1 species
UACGUAGGGCGCAAGCGUUGUCCGGAAUUAUUGGGCGUAAAGAGCUCGUAGGCGGCUUGUCACGUCGGGUGUGAAAGCCCGGGGCUUAACCCCGGGUCUGCAGUCGAUACGGGCAGGCUAGAGUUCGGUAGGGGAGAUCGGAAUUCCUGGUGUAGCGGUGAAAUGCGCAGAUAUCAGGAGGAACACCGGUGGCGAAGGCGGAUCUCUGGGCCGAUACUGACGCUGAGGAGCGAAAGCGUGGGGAGCGAACAGG